rnacentral:rRNA from 1 species
UACAGAGGUCCCAAGCGUUGUUCGGAUUCACUGGGCGUAAAGGGCUCGUAGGCGGCCAACUAAGUCAGACGUGAAAUCCCCAGGCUCAACCUGGGAACUGCGUCUGAUACUGGUUGGCUUGAAUCCGGGAGAGGGAUGCAGAAUUCCAGGUGUAGCGGUGAAAUGCGUAGAUAUCUGGAGGAAUACCGGUGGCGAAGGCGGCAUCCUGGACCGGCAUUGACGCUGAGGAGCGAAAGCCAGGGGAGCAAACGGG